UACCGGCAGCUCGAGUGAUGGCCAAUAUUAUUGGGCCUAAAGCGUCCGUAGCUGGCCGAACAGGUCCGUCGGGAAAUCCGCUCGCUCAACGAGCGGACGUCCGGCGGAAACCAGUCGGCUUGGGACCGGAAGACCCGAGGGGUACGGCCGGGGUAGGAGUGAAAUCCUGUAAUCCUGGCCGGACCACCGGUGGCGAAAGCGCCUCGGGAAGACGGAUCCGACAGUGAGGGACGAAAGCUAGGGUCACGAACCGG
rnacentral:rRNA from 1 species